ensembl:snoRNA SNORD110 small nucleolar RNA, C/D box 110
UUGCAGUGAUGACUCAAAUCUGUCAAUCCACUGAGUGCAAUUACUGAUGUCUCCAUGUCUCUGAGCAA